rnacentral:rRNA from 1 species
CUCCUUUAGUAAAUAAUUAAAGGUAAGACCUGCUCAAUGUUAUGUAUUAAUAGCUGCGGUAUCUUAACUGCACAAAGGUAGCAUAAUUAAUUGUCUUUUAAAUGGUGACGGGUUUGAAAGGUUUAAUGAGAGAAAUAAUAUCCUUGGUUUAAUUAUAAAUUAUAUUUAGAGGUUAAAAUACCCUUUUAUAUAAGAAAGACGAGAAGACCCUGUUGAGUUUUACAAAUAUAUAAAUAUUUGUUUUGAUGGGAAAUUUGGAUUCUAAUUGAAUACUUUGUUGAUCCUGGAAAUAAUUUCUGGAAAAAGGAUUAAAUUACCGCAGGGAUAACAGGACUAUAUUUACUGAGAGUUCUUAUUGAAGUAAAUGAUUGUUACCUCGAUGUUGAAUCGAAAAUUACUCACCGACGCAGCAGUUGGCUAAGAGUAGGUCUGUUCGACCUGUAGAUUUUCACG